AGCUCAGCGGGAGAGUGUGUGCUUGGCGUGCACAAGGUCCUGGGUUCAAUCCCCAG
rnacentral:tRNA from 1 species